rnacentral:rRNA from 1 species
GGGUUGUGAGGUUAAGCGACUAAGCGUACACGGUGGAUGCCCUGGCAGUCAGAGGCGAUGAAGGACGUGCUAAUCUGCGAAAAGCGUCGGUAAGGUGAUAUGAACCGUUAUAACCGGCGAUGUCCGAAUGGGGAAACCCAGUGCAAUUCGUUGCACUAUCGUUAACUGAAUACAUAGGUUAACGAGGCGAACCGGGGGAACUGAAACAUCUAAGUACCCCGAGGAAAAGAAAUCAACCGAGAUUCCCCCAGUAGCGGCGAGCGAACGGGGAGCAGCCCAGAGUCUGAAUCAGCUUGUGUGUUAGUGGAACGGUCUGGAAAGUCCGACGGUACAGGGUGAUAGUCCCGUACACCAAAAUGCACAGGUUGUGAACUCGAAGAGUAGGGCGGGACACGUGGUAUCCUGUCUGAAUAUGGGGGGACCAUCCUCCAAGGCUAAAUACUCCUGACUGACCGAUAGUGAACCAGUACCGUGAGGGAAAGGCGAAAAGAACCCCGGCGAGGGGAGUGAAAAAGAACCUGAAACCGUGUACGUACAAGCAGUGGGAGCACCCUUUAGGGUGUGACUGCGUACCUUUUGUAUAAUGGGUCAGCGACUUAUAUUCUGUAGCAAGGUUAACCGUAUAGGGGAGCCGCAGGGAAACCGAGUCUUAACUGGGCGUUAAGUUGCAGGGUAUAGACCCGAAACCCGGUGAUCUAGCCAUGGGCAGGUUGAAGGUUGGGUAACACUAACUGGAGGACCGAACCGACUAAUGUUGAAAAAUUAGCGGAUGACUUGUGGCUGGGGGUGAAAGGCCAAUCAAACCGGGAGAUAGCUGGUUCUCCCCGAAAGCUAUUUAGGUAGCGCCUCGUGAAUUCAUCUUCGGGGGUAGAGCACUGUUUCGGCUAGGGGGUCAUCCCGACUUACCAACCCGAUGCAAACUACGAAUACCGAAGAAUGUUAUCACGGGAGACACACGGCGGGUGCUAACGUCCGUCGUGAAGAGGGAAACAACCCAGACCGCCAGCUAAGGUCCCAAAGUCACAGUUAAGUGGGAAACGAUGUGGGAAGGCACAGACAGCCAGGAUGUUGGCUUAGAAGCAGCCAUCAUUUAAAGAAAGCGUAAUAGCUCACUGGUCGAGUCGGCCUGCGCGGAAGAUGUAACGGGGCUAAACUGUGCACCGAAGCUGCGGCAGCGACACUAUGUGUUGUUGGGUAGGGGAGCGUUCUGUAAGCCUGCGAAGGUGGCCUGUGAGGGUUGCUGGAGGUAUCAGAAGUGCGAAUGCUGACAUAAGUAACGAUAAUGCGGGUGAAAAGCCCGCACGCCGGAAGACCAAGGGUUCCUGUCCAACGUUAAUCGGGGCAGGGUGAGUCGACCCCUAAGGCGAGGCCGAAAGGCGUAGUCGAUGGGAAACAGGUUAAUAUUCCUGUACUUGGUGUUACUGCGAAGGGGGGACGGAGAAGGCUAUGUUAGCCGGGCGACGGUUGUCCCGGUUUAAGCAUGUAGGCGGAGGUUCCAGGUAAAUCCGGUACCUUUUAACGCUGAGGUGUGAUGACGAGGCACUACGGUGCUGAAGUAACAAAUGCCCUGCUUCCAGGAAAAGCCUCUAAGCAUCAGGUAACAUUAAAUCGUACCCCAAACCGACACAGGUGGUCAGGUAGAGAAUACCAAGGCGCUUGAGAGAACUCGGGUGAAGGAACUAGGCAAAAUGGUGCCGUAACUUCGGGAGAAGGCACGCUGAUAUGUAGGUGAAGCCCCUGCGGGUGGAGCUGAAAUCAGUCGAAGAUACCAGCUGGCUGCAACUGUUUAUUAAAAACACAGCACUGUGCAAACACGAAAGUGGACGUAUACGGUGUGACGCCUGCCCGGUGCCGGAAGGUUAAUUGAUGGGGUUAUCCGUAAGGAGAAGCUCUUGAUCGAAGCCCCGGUAAACGGCGGCCGUAACUAUAACGGUCCUAAGGUAGCGAAAUUCCUUGUCGGGUAAGUUCCGACCUGCACGAAUGGCGUAAUGAUGGCCAGGCUGUCUCCACCCGAGACUCAGUGAAAUUGAACUCGCUGUGAAGAUGCAGUGUACCCGCGGCAAGACGGAAAGACCCCGUGAACCUUUACUAUAGCUUGACACUGAACAUUGAGCCUUGAUGUGUAGGAUAGGUGGGAGGCUUUGAAGCGUGGACGCCAGUCUGCGUGGAGCCAACCUUGAAAUACCACCCUUUAAUGUUUGAUGUUCUAACGUUGGCCCCUUAUCGGGGUUGCGGACAGUGUCUGGUGGGUAGUUUGACUGGGGCGGUCUCCUCCCAAAGAGUAACGGAGGAGCACGAAGGUUAGCUAAUCCUGGUCGGACAUCAGGAGGUUAGUGCAAUGGCAUAAGCUAGCUUGACUGCGAGCGUGACGGCGCGAGCAGGUGCGAAAGCAGGUCAUAGUGAUCCGGUGGUUCUGAAUGGAAGGGCCAUCGCUCAACGGAUAAAAGGUACUCCGGGGAUAACAGGCUGAUACCGCCCAAGAGUUCAUAUCGACGGCGGUGUUUGGCACCUCGAUGUCGGCUCAUCACAUCCUGGGGCUGAAGUAGGUCCCAAGGGUAUGGCUGUUCGCCAUUUAAAGUGGUACGCGAGCUGGGUUUAGAACGUCGUGAGACAGUUCGGUCCCUAUCUGCCGUGGGCGCUGGAGAAUUGAGGGGGGCUGCUCCUAGUACGAGAGGACCGGAGUGGACGCAUCACUGGUGUUCGGGUUGUCAUGCCAAUGGCAUUGCCCGGUAGCUAAAUGCGGAAGAGAUAAGUGCUGAAAGCAUCUAAGCACGAAACUUGCCCCGAGAUGAGUUCUCCCUGAGACUUUAAGUCUCCUGAAGGAACGUUAAAGACGAUGACGUUGAUAGGUCGGGUGUGUAAGCGUAGCGAUACGUUGAGCUAACCGAUACUAAUGAACCGUGAGGCUUAACCUUACAACGCCGAAGGUGUUU